rnacentral:rRNA from 1 species
GAACGCUGGCGGCAGGCUUACACAUGCAAGUCGAGCGGUAACAUUUCUAGCUUGCUAGAAGAUGACGAGCGGCGGACGGGUGAGUAACGCGUAGGAAUCUGCCUAGUAGUGGGGGACAACAUGUGGAAACGCAUGCUAAUACCGCAUACGCCCUACGGGGGAAAGGAGGGGAUCUUCGGACCUUUCGCUAUUAGAUGAGCCUGCGUGAGAUUAGCUAGUUGGUGGGGUAAAGGCCUACCAAGGCGACGAUCUCUAGCUGGUCUGAGAGGAUGAUCAGCCACACUGGGACUGAGACGCGGCCCAGACUCCUACGGGAGGCAGCAGUGGGGAAUAUUGGACAAUGGGCGCAAGCCUGAUCCAGCCAUGCCGCGUGUGUGAAGAAGGCCUUAGGGUUGUAAAGCACUUUCAGGAGUGAGGAAGGGCGUGCAGUUAAUACCUGUAUGUCUUGACGUUAACUCCAGAAGAAGCACCGGCUAACUCUGUGCCAGCAGCCGCGGUAAUACAGAGGGUGCGAGCGUUAAUCGGAAUUACUGGGCGUAAAGCGCGCGUAGGCGGUUUGUUAAGUCGGAUGUGAAAUCCCAGGGCUCAACCUUGGAAUGGCACCCGAUACUGGCAGGCU